rnacentral:tRNA from 2 species
GCGCCUGUAGCUCAGCUGGAUAGAGCAACGGACUUCUAAUCCGUAGGUCGCGGGUUCGAAUCCCUCCAGGCGUACCA